rnacentral:lncRNA from 1 species
CGCCUUUGUAGUUUGUACCACCCAGUGGCUCCAACCACUGGCUCGCCUUCUCCACAGCGGCCUGUUUGCGCCGCUCCGCCAAGCCGCUGGUGAGUUCGCGUCUUUCCGAGCGACGUCCAGUGACCAUUGUCAUUGAUCGCUGCAGACCCGCUAAGAGGUGAGCUCCGACUUCUUCUUCUUCACCUUGUCCACACUCGAUCUGCGACCUUUCCACCAUUAGAGCACCGGUCCAAGCUCUUCGAUCAACAGAAACCUUUUGUCAUCACCUCAAUCUCGCCAUCGUAGCUUCCAAUCCGAUCAUGGCCUCCUUCCCCGAAACCUCCAUAGUCGUGAGUCUACAAUCUGCCAGCUUCUCCUCUUGUCUCUCUCAGCUUCAAGUCGUCCUCGUGGCUGAGCUCGAGUCGUGGUAGCCUGUCCCGAAGCUCCGGAGUCGUUGCCUCUCGCCGUCGCGACCAUCUUCAGAUUGAAAAGCUUGGGAGUUCCACAAUGGUGGAUUUUCGAUUAUUUUCACAGUUGACC